GAAACAACCUGGCCAAUGAAUCAUCAGGCUCCUCAAUAGCAUUCAAAUGAUUGUUGGCCAGGACGAGGG
ensembl:miRNA